rnacentral:lncRNA from 1 species
AAAAUAAUAUAAUGGAUCAUGGUAGUGUACCAAUAAAAUGCUUAUAGUUCAGUUUUUUUAUAUAUUUAAUAGUUAAAUUUUUAUUGAUAUGCAUCCAAAAAAUAUAUGUACUUUCUUAUAGCCACUCUCCUUCCUCUGUCACGACUACCCUGUUUUCAGCAUCACAGGUUCAGUCUUAAGUUAGGACAUGUGUUGUCAGUUUAUCUGUUUUGGUGUAAAUAUUUUGCCCUUUGUCAAUUCAUAAAUAUAAGUGAAAAACAGAGAAAUAGCAGUGUUGAUACGAGCAAAAAGAAAUCAAGGCCUUAUAAAUUUCAUACGAUCAAGAGAAAGAUGGACAUAUUUAGAUGUCCUGAAGUAGCAAAUCUUUUGUUUUAAUCAAUCAUUUGUAUGACUUGAGCCUAAAUUGCUUUACUUUCAUGCAUUUCAACUUUCAUAUGCAUUUUAGGAACCAUUUAAGUACGAAAGUUGAGGACUGUCUAUAAUAAUUUUUCUGUUCCUCUAAUUAGACUACAGUUGGCUCAUUGCUGUUCCAGAAUUAAUUCCACUUAUCCAUAUCCAAAGUAGGCUUGGCUGCAAUUUCCCAGAAAGGAGUGGCUGCCGUAAAACAAAGUGCCACACCCCUUUAAAUGGCCUGAGGAUAUUUACGUUUUGUUUUUCAUGAUUUUUCUUAUAAAUUUUGUGAUUAUUAAAGUAAAAACUGAAUGUUUAUAAUAUAUACAUGAAUAAUAAAAUAUUGUAUGGUAUAUAAGAAAAUAAUGUUUAAUUAAUUCUGUUAAAAUAAACUAACAGUUA